CGAGUGGCGGACGGGUGAGUAAUGUCUGGGAAACUGCCCGAUGGAGGGGGAUAACUACUGGAAACGGUAGCUAAUACCGCAUAACGUCGCAAGACCAAAGAGGGGGACCUUAGGGCCUCUUGCCAUCGGAUGUGCCCAGAUGGGAUUAGCUAGUAGGUGGGGUAACGGCUCACCUAGGCGACGAUCCCUAGCUGGUCUGAGAGGGUGACCAGCCACACUGGAACUGAGACACGGUCCAG
rnacentral:rRNA from 1 species